CCGCUUUCAGGCCUGGUGUGGAGCUGUGAGAGACACAGGGGUGGUCCCGGCCACGGGAGCCGUUCAGAAUGGCCCGAGAAAGGCUGUGGGGGCCACGUUUGCCACAAGGCAGGAUGUCCGAGCAGCCAAGGCCUGGGCACAAGAGCAGUGUGUGGCCCGGGCCUCCGUGGUCCGCUGGAGGAGCCACACGCAGGGGAGCCGGGCGGACAGGCAGCUGAGGAGGGCCCGGGCCCAGCAGGCCUUCACAGAGUGGCGAGCAGCUCUGGGCCGGCGCUGCAAGGCCCGCCAGCUGGCAGAAGAGAGACUGGCCCUGUGCCGGACACAGUGGAUGCGCGAGUCCCGCCUACGCCGGGUCAGCAGAGCCCGUGCUGCCCAGAAGCUGAGUGCCAGGGUCCUAGAGGCCUGGGCGCAGUCAGCCGCCAGGGGCCGUGUCCAGCGAGCCGCCAUCACCCCGUUCCAGCAGGCUGGGUCCAGACGCCUCCAGUGGACCCACUGGGCCCAGUGGCAGGCAGCGCUCCUCAGUAUGCGGUUGGAACCGCAGGCGGAGGCCGGAGAAGCCCCCAAGGUUGAUGUCAGGCAGUGGCCCAGGGUGGCCAGCAGAGGGCACCUCCUAGCGCUGACAGACACUCCAGCCCCGUGGAAGCAGACCCAUGGCUACGGGACACUGCCCGGCCCAGGCCAGCACGACAGCCACGCGGGACAGAGGAAGCAGAGAGAAAUGUCCUGGGCUCAGAGCGACAAAGGGCCCCCUCUCCGGUGGCAAUGGCCUGGAUGUGCCAGCAGGGUGCAAGGCCAGCCCCCUACAAGACCAGGAGGGGACUGCAGCUCUGAGGCUGGAGUCCUCAAAGGCCAAGGCGAGGCCACUAAGAGAGGACUAGGGAGGAAAUACCUACAGCGCUGGCACCGUGAGGCGCUGCUCCGCCGGCUCCAGGGCUCCCAGCGCGCCAGGCGCCUGGCAGCUACGUGGCAGCACUGGGUAGACGCUCAGGGCGCCGAGCAGCUGGCAAGGACGCUGCUGAGGCAGUGGCACCUGGAGCGGGCCUGGCGUGUGUGGCGGCGGCGGGUCCUGCGGCUGUGGGUGGCUCAGCGAUCACAGCAACAAGAAGGAGCUCGGGUCCUUGCCCAGGCCUUUGAAAAGUGGCGCCAGCACCUGGCAGCCAGGGGAUGGAAGAGAGGAGCCACCAGCGGCCUGAUACCCCUGAGCCAGGCAGGCAUCAGGAACCCUGGGAGCAGGCUGGAAGCUGCUGGAACUCGUGUGUGUGGUGGACGUUGUGUGGAGCAGGGGACCCAGCUGCAGCUGUGACUUGUUCCCAUGGAAAGAAAAACAAUACUGGCCCCAGCCUCCUUGAGGAAGGAACCACGCCCCACCCAUGAGGGCAGUGCAGGCCCAAGCCACCAGGCACUCAUCCCACGGGCUGGUGACAGAGGGGCCGGCUCUCUGAGCUCUGAAGGACAAUAAAACACCGUCCUUAGUCCUAGCUGCUUCUCUU
rnacentral:lncRNA from 1 species